UACGUAGGGGGCAAGCGUUGUCCGGAAUCAUUGGGCGUAAAGCGCGCGUAGGCGGCCCGGUAAGUCCGCUCUGAAAGCCCAGGGCUCAACCCUGGAAAGCGGGUGGAUACUGCCGGGCUAGAAUCCGGAAGAGGCGAGUGGAAUUCCUGGUGUAGCGGUGGAAUGCGCAGAUAUCAGGAGGAACACCAAUAGCGAAGGCAGCUCGCUGGGACGGUAUUGACGCUAAGGCGCGAAAGCGUGGGGAGCAAACAGG
rnacentral:rRNA from 1 species